rnacentral:lncRNA from 1 species
GCCAGAGCUAAUUAGCAGUGAGAUUGUUGCUGUGGCUCAGAGGGUUUCAUAGGGCGGCUCUUCGUGGCUUCAGCAUGGGUGCACACCAAGGGAUGACGUGAAUAGCGAUCCUGACAGUUGUGUUUUCAUCAGGGAGCUGCUGUGACCCUCUCGUUGGAAUGCCGUGAAUAUGAUGUGGCCCCUUCCCAGCCCAGCGUCCGCAGAAGUGGAAGGGAAAUGGCAGUGAGGCCUCAUGUGGCAGGUGGUUUUCCAAAGCUAACUACAAAGCUGUUGCCACGCCUAUGGUCUUCUGUGAACUUGCCACCCUGUGAUGGUGGAGCCUCUGCGUGGUGGAAUCCUGGAAUCCGACUGCAUGGAGCAUCGGAAUAUGGUGAAAAAUCACUCCGUUCCUCGUGUGGAUAGCCCCUUGGAAGCUGCCGUCCUGUAAGGAGGGGCACCUGGAGACUUCCCGACUGGGAAGAGCUCACAUCUUGUGGAGUUUGGGGGCUGCGGAGACAGAGCAAGACAAGGAGGCUGAGGCACCCGCUGAUGGUGCUUGGGUCAGAGACACAUCCUCUGUGCCUGUCCUCCCAAUCCCUGACCUGUAAAAUAAUGAG